rnacentral:rRNA from 1 species
AGAGGGUGCAAGCGUUAAUCGGGAAUUACUGGGGCGUAAAGCGCGCGUAGGCGGAUAUUUAAGUCGGAUGUGAAAGCCCUGGGGCUCAACCUGGGAACUGCAUUCGAUACUGGAUAUCUAGAGUAUGGUAGAGGAAAGUAGAAUUCCUGGUGUAGCGGUGAAAUGCGUAGAUAUCAGGAGGAAUACCAGUGGCGAAGGCGGCUUUCUGGACCAAUACUGACGCUGAGGUGCGAAAGCGUGGGGAGCAAACAGGAUUAGAGACCCUGGUAGUCCACGCCGUCAACGAUGAGAACUAGCCGUUGGGAGGCAUGACCUCUUAGUGGCGAAGCUAACGCGUUAAGUUCUCCGCCUGGGGAGUACGGCCGCAAGGUUA